GACGAACGCUGGCGGCGUGCUUAACACAUGCAAGUCGAACGGAAAGGCCUCUUUCGGGGGGUACUCGAGUGGCGAACGGGUGAGUAACACGUGAGUAACCUGCCCUUGACUUUGGGAUAACUUCAGGAAACUGGGGCUAAUACCGGAUAGGAGCUCCUGCUGCAUGGUGGGGGUUGGAAAGUUUCGGCGGUUGUGGAUGGACUCGCGGCCUAUCAGCUUGUUGGUGGGGUAGUGGCUUACCAAGGCUUUGACGGGUAGCCGGCCUGAGAGGGUGACCGGCCACAAUGGGGCUGAGAUACGGCCCAGACUCCUACGGGAGGCAGCAGUGGGGAAUAUUGCACAAUGGGUGGAAGCCUGAUGCAGCAACGCCGUGUGCGGGAUGACGGCCCUCGGGUUGUAAACCGCUUUCGCUCAGGACGAAGCUUUGUGUGACGGUAGUGGGUAAAGAAGCACCGGCUAACUACGUG
rnacentral:rRNA from 1 species